rnacentral:rRNA from 1 species
ACGGUAACAGGAAGCAGCUUGCUGCUUUGCUGACGAGUGGCGGACGGGUGAGUAAUGUCUGGGAAACUGCCUGAUGGAGGGGGAUAACUACUGGAAACGGUAGCUAAUACCGCAUAACGUCGCAAGACCAAAGAGGGGGACCUUCGGGCCUCUUGCCAUCGGAUGUGCCCAGAUGGGAUUAGCUAGUAGGUGGGGUAAAGGCUCACCUAGGCGACGAUCCCUAGCUGGUCUGAGAGGAUGACCAGCCACACUGGAACUGAGACACGGUCCAGACUCCUACGGGAGGCAGCAGUGGGGAAUAUUGCACAAUGGGCGCAAGCCUGAUGCAGCCAUGCCGCGUGUAUGAAGAAGGCCUUCGGGUUGUAAAGUACUUUCAGCGGGGAGGAAGGGAGUAAAGUUAAUACCUUUGCUCAUUGACGUUACCCGCAGAAGAAGCACCGGCUAACUCCGUGCCAGCAGCCGCGGUAAUACGGAGGGUGCAAGCGUUAAUCGGAAUUACUGGGCGUAAAGCGCACGCAGGCGGUUUGUUAAGUCAGAUGUGAAAUCCCCGGGCUCAACCUGGGAACUGCAU